AAGCAAAAACUGGAGGCGGAGAAAGCUGAUCUGAUGAACGUGGGUGCUGAUGCCCUUACUGACGGAUUCGAGCUGGCACUCGAGCAGAUCCGAUGCGUUCUCCCAGACUUGGACCUCUCGCAAUUCAGCAUUUAUCACGAAGUGGUAGAUGGAAAGCUCACCCCUCCUCCUUGAUCUCUUCUCUUUUUUGUAAAUUUAUACUUCUGCACAACUUUUU
rnacentral:lncRNA from 1 species